rnacentral:rRNA from 1 species
GACGAACGCUGGCGGCGUGCUUAACACAUGCAAGUCGAGCGGUAAGGCCCUUUCGGGGGUACACGAGCGGCGAACGGGUGAGUAACACGUGGGUGACCUGCCCUCAGCUCUGGGAUAAGCCUGGGAAACUGGGUCUAAUACUGGAUAUGACUCCACGGUGCAUGUCGUGGGGUGGAAAGCCUUGUGCGGCUGAGGAUGGGCCCGCGGCCUAUCAGCUUGUUGGUGGGGUGAUGGCCUA